UACGUAGGCAGCAAGCGUUGUUCGGAAUUACUGGGCGUAAAGCGCGUGUAGGCGGCGAUCUAAGUUCGGUGUGAAAUCUCCCGGCUCAACUGGGAGGGUGCGCCGGAAACUGGUGUGCUGGAGCGCGGGAGAGGAAAGCGGAAUUCCUGGUGUAGCGGUGAAAUGCGUAGAUAUCAGGAGGAACACCGGCGGUGUAGACGGCUUUCUGGACCGUAGCUGACGCUGAGACACGAAAGCGUGGGUAGCAAACAGG
rnacentral:rRNA from 1 species